GACGAACGCUGGCGGCGUGCCUAAUACAUGCAAGUAGAACGCACAGUUUAUACCGUAGCUUGCUACACCAUAGACUGUGAGUUGCGAACGGGUGAGUAACGCGUAGGUAACCUGCCUGGUAGCGGGGGAUAACUAUUGGAAACGAUAGCUAAUACCGCAUAAUAUUAAUUAUUGCAUGAUAAUUAAUUGAAAGGUGCAAUUGCACCACUACCAGAUGGACCUGCGUUGUAUUAGCUAGUAGGUGAGGUAACGGCUCACCUAGGCGACGAUACAUAGCCGACCUGGGAGGGGGAUCGGCCAAACUGGGACUGAGACACGGCCCAGACUCCUACGGGAGGCAGCAGUAGGGAAUCUUCGGCAAUGGACGAAAGUCUGACCGAGCAACGCCGCGUGAGUGAAGAAGGUUUUCGGAUCGUAAAGAUCUGUUGUAAGAGAAGAACGGGUGUGAGAGUGGAAAGUUCACACUGUGACGGUAGCUUACCAGAAAGGGACGGCUAACUACGUG
rnacentral:rRNA from 1 species